UACGGAGGGUGCGAGCGUUAAUCGGAAUUACUGGGCGUAAAGCGUGCGCAGGCGGUUUUGCAAGACAGGUGUGAAAUCCCCGGGCUCAACCUGGGAACUGCGCUUGUGACUGCAAGACUAGAGUACGGUAGAGGGGGGUGGAAUUCCUGGUGUAGCAGUGAAAUGCGUAGAUAUCAGGAGGAACAUCGAUGGCGAAGGCAGCCCCCUGGACCUGUACUGACGCUCAUGUGCGAAAGCGUGGGGAGCAAACAGG
rnacentral:rRNA from 1 species